CUGGGUUCAUCUCUGCUCUGUUAUUCUUAGUGCUUACAUUAGCAUAGUCUCUGGGAGCCCUAGCCAUGGUUCAGCAGGGCACUACUCAAAUGCAGAAUAUAAAUGUUCAUGUUCCCAAGCUCAGCUAUUAAGAAGGAAGAAAAGAGCAGAGACAGACUGAGGAGUGUCAUGGGCUACUCAUUGUGAUGAGCAGGAAGGAGUCUCAGGGCAGCAGCAGCACUGCAGCUGGAGAGCUGCUUGAAUUGGGCCCAGGAAGCAGAGUUUAGAGGAAUAGGAAUUAAUUAGGAUGUCUAACUAUUGGAUAAUUAUGGCAGUCCCAAUAAUAAUGCUGUUUCUUUGGACUCCUCCACCUUUGCUUUUUUGCCCAAGCAAAAGAAGAAGCUGCAUAGUGACAUAGUUGUACUGGAGGCUUCAGUAACUCUUCUCUGUCUUUCUGUGAAUGGGACUGUUCUUUUAUGGCAAGAAUCCUGGGGGAUAAAAUCUCCAGGCAUGUAUAUCAUGCAAAUAUGCAUAACAACAUUGCUGAAGAGGCUGACUUGUCCCUGCAGUCCAGACUGCACCAACUGAGCGACUUCAAUUAAACAGUUUCUCGCAUUUUGUGUUGAGAUCUGAGCUGCUGCUCUCCCAGGCAGGAUGAAAUGGCAGGAUUCAGUCCCUUUUCCAGGUCAUUACACCAGCAGCUCCUGGGAAGCUGGUUCGUUACAGGGAACAGUGCAGUGCUCCUGGCAUUUCACACAGUGAGAUCUGAGGCAAAUGGAAUACCCAGCAGUCCUGUUUUUAAAGAUAUCUACUUCACAGGAAGAGUUUAGCU